UGGGGAAUUUUGGACAAUGGGCGAAAGCCUGAUCCAGCAAUGCCGCGUAUGUGAAGAAGGCCUUCGGGUUGUAAACACUUUUGUCCGGAAAGAAAUCCUUGGCUCUAAUACAGUCGGGGGAUGACGGUACCGGAAGAAUAAGCACCGGCUAACUACGUGCCAGCAGCCGCGGUAAUACGUAGGGUGCAAGCGUUAAUCGGAAUUACUGGGCGUAAAGCGUGCGCAGGCGGUUUGCUAAGACCGAUGUGAAAUCCCCGGGCUCAACCUGGGAACUGCAUUGGUGACUGGCAGGCUAGAGUAUGGCAGAGGGGGGUAGAAUUCCACGUGUAGCAGUGAAAUGCGUAGAGAUGUGGAGGAAUACCGAUGGCGAAGGCAGCCCCCUGGGCCAAUACUGACGCUCAUGCACGAAAGCGUGGGGAGCAAACAGGAUUAGAUACCCUGGUAGUCCACGCCCUAAACGAUGUCAACUAGUUGUUGGGGAUUCAUUCCUUAGUAACGUAGCUAACGCGUGAAGUUGACCGCCUGGGGAGUACGGUCGCAAGAUUAAAACUCAAAUGAAUUGACGGGGUCAUAGCUGUUUCCU
rnacentral:rRNA from 1 species